GAUGAACGCUAGCGGAGGCUUAACACAUGCAAGUCGAGGGGCAGCAUAGGGUAGCAAUACUCUGAUGGCGACCGGCAAACGGGUGAGUAACGCGUAUGCAACCUACCCUGUACAGGGGGAUAACCCGGAGAAAUUCGGACUAAUAUCCCGUAAUAAUAUCCGGAGGCAUCUUUGGAUAUUUAAAGUUCCGACGGUACGGGAUGGGCAUGCGUAACAUUAACUGGUUGGUAAGGUAACGGCUUACCAAGGCUAUGAUGUUUAGGGGUCCUGAGAGGGUGGUCCCCCACACUGGUACUGAGACACGGACCAGACUCCUACGGGAGGCAGCAGUGAGGAAUAUUGGUCAAUGGGCGCAAGCCUGAACCAGCCGUCCCGCGUGCAGGAAGACGGCCCUAUGGGUUGUAAACUGCUUUUCCAGGGAGAGAAACUUACGCACGUGUUGCGUGACUGACGGUACCCUGGGAAUAAGCAUCGGCUAACUCCGUG
rnacentral:rRNA from 1 species